GGGGGGUGAUGGCGCUACGCGAGGCCCUCGCGGAACUGGCACGAGCGUGGCGGCGCCCGGGAGGGCGGAACGGGGCCGCGGUGGUGCGGCGGCGGCACCGCCGUGGCGGGGACUAUAUUUCUUAGCGGAGGGGGACGCGUGGCUGGUCAAGCCGCGACGGUGACGACACCGGAGCUCCGCGAGAUGGACUGAUAAGCAGCGGGAUCCCAACCAAUGAUAAUGCUCUAUUGCUUUGAUUGGCAUAUGAUGCGGCAAACCUGAGCGCGGGUGGUCGUGGUCCCCGCCCACCGAGCGGGGGGCGGGCCGGCGGGCCGGGGGAGGCCGCUAGUUACCGUCACCGCCCACAGCUCCCCCUGCACUGCCGACGCGGCCCCCGGGGAGGCAGGGUGCGCAGGGCUGGGGUCCCGGGGGGGUCCCGCCGCGGGAGCCCUCGCCCGCCAGCUGCUGCCUCGCAGCCGCCGCCCCCCAGAACCCCCGCCGAGAGGCCGCAGGAGCGCGGCGGGACCUGGAUGGCAGUCCUGGCCCGGGCGCACCGCCCCCGCGAGGGCCCCCGGAGCACCUUCCGCGCCGCUGGGCCUGGCGUUCCCCCCGGCACAGCGCAGCCCCGGGGGUGGUUGGGCCGGUGCAGCCCCGCUGUGGGGGCUCCCAGGAGCACCGAGGCCUGGACCGGCCUGCGCGGCUGCCAACCGACCUCGGCCGGGCCCUGCAGUGCAGCGGGCUGGGAUGGAGAGUUCGUGUGUGACAUCCUGGAGUCGCCUCGGAGCGCGUUGGGAGAGGCCUCAAAUUUCGUCUAGUUCCACCCCGUGCCAUGGCAGGGACAACCUUCCACUAUCCCAGAAUGGUUGGACUUGGAUUGGACCUCUGGAGAUCAUCCAGAGUUCAGCUCCCUGCCAAGGCAGGAUCUCCCAGAGUAGGUGACACAGGAACACAUCCAGUUUACGGACACUGCUCCUUGUCCUGUGUCUGGGCACCAGAACAGAGUCUGGCACAUCCUCUGACACCCCUCGGAGAUACUUGUAUGUAUUGGUAAGAUCCUGUCUCAGUCUUCUCUGGAUUAAUCAAGCCCAGCUCCCACGGCCUCUCCUCAUCAGAGAGAAGCUCCAGACCCCAAAUCAUCUUUGGGACCUCCACUGGACCCUCCCCAGUAGCUCCUUGUCCUUGUCCCAGAACUGGAUACAGCAGCCCAGAUGUGCCCCCCGCCCCCCCCGCCCCCCAGCAGAGGGGCAGGCUCCCUCCCUGCCCUGCUGGCCACGCUUUUCCCACUGCCCCCAGGGUCCCAGUGUCCCCCCUGGUCCCAGGGCACUCUGCUGUCUCAGGGACAGUUUGCCAUCCACCAGCUCCCCCAGGUCCUUCUCUGCAGAGCUGCUCUCCAGUGGGUCACCCCCAGCCCGUGCUGG